rnacentral:rRNA from 1 species
GAAACCGGCGAACGGGUGCGUAACACGUGAGGAACCUGCCCCGAAGACCGGGAUAGCCCGGGGAAACCCGGAUUAAUACCGGAUGUCCUCGAGGGACCGCAUGGUCCGUCGAGGAAAUGGUCCGCCGCUUUGGGAUGGCCUCGCGGCCUAUCAGCUUGUUGGUGAGGUAACGGCUCACCAAGGCCGAGACGGGUAGCUGGUCUGAGAGGACGAUCAGCCACACUGGGACUGAGACACGGCCCAGACUCCUACGGGAGGCAGCAGCAGGGAAUAUUGCACAAUGGGCGAAAGCCUGAUGCAGCGACGCCGCGUGCGGGAUGAAGGCCUUCGGGUUGUAAACCGCUUUCAGGAGGGACGAAAAUGACGGUACCUCCAGAAGAAGCCCCGGCCAACUACGUGCCAGCAGCCGCGGUAACACGUAGGGGGCGAACGUUGUCCGGAUUUAUUGGGCGUAAAGGGCUCGUAGGCGGUUUAGNAAGUCGGUCGUGAAAGCCCGGGGCUCAACCCCGGGACGCCGGUCGAAACUGCUAUGACUAGGGU